rnacentral:lncRNA from 1 species
UUAAUCAAAUUCAAAAAAACCUCAAAGAAAUUUCAAACAAACAAUAAGAAUUCUUAAAAAAAUAUUAAAAGAAUCACAAAUAUCACUCAAAUACAUCUCAAUUCAAUCUUAAUUUAAUUCUAGUUAAAAUCCUAUUGAACUUCAUUCAAACUUUAGGCCAAAACUAAUUGAAUCUUAAAUCUUAAUAAAAUCCUAAAUCCUGAAUCAAAUCCUAAACAAACCUUAAACCAAAUCCCAACCAAAUCCUAAAGCAAAUCCUAACCAAAAUCUAAACCAAACCCUAAAUCCUAAAUCAAAUCCUAAUCAAAUCCUAAUCCAAAUCCUAAAUCCUAAAUCAAACCCUAAUCCAAACUUUAAAUCCUAAAUCAAACCCUAAAUAAAUCCUAAUCCAAAUCUUAAACCCUAAAUCAAACCCUAAUCAAAUCCUAAAUCCUAAACCAAAUCCUAACUAAAUCCUAAAUCCUAAAUCAAAUCCUAACCAAAUCCUAAUCCAAACCCUAAAUCCUAAGCCAAAUCUUAAC